rnacentral:rRNA from 1 species
CCUACGGGAGGCAGCAGUGGGGAAUAUUGGACAAUGGGCGAAAGCCUGAUCCAGCAAUGCCGCGUGAGUGAUGAAGGCCUUAGGGUUGUAAAGCUCUUUUACCAGGGAUGAUAAUGACAGUACCUGGAGAAUAAGCUCCGGCUAACUCCGUGCCAGCAGCCGCGGUAAUACGGAGGGAGCUAGCGUUGUUCGGAAUUACUGGGCGUAAAGCGUACGUAGGCGGUUAUUCAAGUCAGAGGUGAAAGCCUGGAGCUCAACUCCAGAACUGCCUUUGAAACUAGAUAGCUAGAAUCACGGAGAGGUUAGUGGAAUUCCGAGUGUAGAGGUGAAAUUCGUAGAUAUUCGGAAGAACACCAGUGGCGAAGGCGACUAACUGGACGUGUAUUGACGCUGAGGUACGAAAGCGUGGGGAGCAAACAGGAUUAGAUACCCUGGUAGUCCACGCCGUAAACGAUGAUAACUAGCUGUUCGGUCUCUACGAGACUGAGUGGCGCAGCUAACGCAUUAAGUUAUCCGCCUGGGGAGUACGGUCGCAAGNUUAAAACUCAAAUGAAUUGACGG